rnacentral:rRNA from 1 species
UUGCCAGACUCCUACGGGAGGCAGCAGUGAGGAAUAUUGGUCAAUGGGCGCGAGCCUGAACCAGCCAAGUCGCGUGAGGGAGGACGGCCCUACGGGUUGUAAACCUCUUUUGCCGGGGAGCAACGGGCGUCACGUGUGGCGCCACUGAGAGUACCCGGAGAAAAAGCAUCGGCUAACUCCGUGCCAGCAGCCGCGGUAAUACGGAGGAUGCGAGCGUUAUCCGGAUUUAUUGGGUUUAAAGGGUGCGUAGGCGGAAUGCCAAGUCAGCGGUAAAAUCGGGGGGCUCAACCUCGCUCCGCCGUUGAAACUGGCGUUCUUGAGUGGGCGAGAAGUAUGCGGAAUGCGUGGUGUAGCGGUGAAAUGCAUAGAUAUCACGCAGAACUCCGAUUGCGAAGGCAGCAUACCGGCGCCCAACUGACGCUGAAGCACGAAAGCGUGGGUAUCGAACAGGAUUAGAUACCCGAGUAA